ensembl:lncRNA
CUGGCAUAGGCAUCUGGAACUUAGUGGUACAACAAUCAGGAAAGCUGUUCCUUGGGAACAUUGGCUGAUGAGAUGGCUCAUCAGAUAAAGGAACCUGCCGCCAAGACUGAAGACCUGAGUUCUAUGCCCAGGACUGAUGGAAAGAAGAAGCCCUUAAGUUGUCCUUUGACCUCUACAUGUGUACCAUGGUGCAUAUACCCCCCCGCCACAAACACCCACACCCAUACCCCAAACAAAUACAAAUGUAAUUUUAAAAAUUUAAAGAUCUCUUCUAGUACUAGGUAGGGUUAGGGGCUGAAUCCCACAUUCCAUCUGGAGUUUUUUGGUUUUUGUUGUUGUUGUUGUUGUUGUUGUUGUUGUUGUUGUUUUCAAGGCAGUGUUUCUCUGUGGCUUUGGAGGCUAUCCAGGAACUAGCUCUUGUAGACCAGGCUGGUCUCGAACUCACAGAGAUCCACCUGCCUCUGCCUCCCAAGUACUGGGAUUAAAGGCGUGUGCCACCACCACCCAGUUUCAUCUGGAGCUCUUGUGACUCCAAAUUCUCAAUUCACACUUGACCUUCAGGAAGUCAUGAAGAUGUCUGUCAAGUCAGGAGAAGAGAUUGAAGACUUUGCUUGUUUGAUGACUUAACUUUUAAACACUUGGAUAUAUGGAAGCUGGCCUUGACUGGACUCUUCUCUGUGCUUCAAAAUGUCCCUGGGUGAGUUUAUGGUCCCUAGUCCAUUGAUGCCUUGUUCUCACUUAUAUCACGAUUAAGCCGAGCCUUGUCUCUGAAGAGCUCCACUCUUUCCCAGCAGGCCUGCAGGUGCAAUAGACAGACUUAAUGGGUGGCAAAGCCAAUGGACUCAAGGCCUUGGUGAAUUCCAAGAUCAUGAGGGAGCAGAAAGGUUGAAUCAUGGGAAGACUAGAAGAAAGGAUGUGUGAUAGGUAGGGUUUUAGUUGAGGGGGGGUGGUAGGGGAGGACAGGAGGGAGAAGGGAACUGGGAUUGUCAUGUAAAACAAUCUUGUUUCUAAUUUAAAUAAAAAAACAAUCUGAAGAAAAAAAAAAUCCCUUACCCCCAGCCAGGCCCGGUGGGCCAUCUGAUAGCCCUGCAUUCUCCCAAAUAUGUAUCUCGAGAUUUGGGAUCCUCUAGAGCAGUGGUUCUCAGCCUUUCUAAUGCUGCAACCCUGUAGUAAAGUUCCUCAUGUUGUGGUGACCCCCAAUCAUAAAAUUAUUUCAUUGCUAUUUCAUUACUAUCAUUUUGAUAAUGUUAUGAAUUGUAAACAUCUGUGUUUUCUGAUGGUCUUAGGCGACCUCUGUGAAAGGGUUACUCAAUCCCCAAAGGGGUCACAACACACAUAUUGAGAACUGCUGCUCUGUGGGCACACAGGUCAUGCCUUACAGAGAGGCAGGGUAGGUUUCUGAGUGACUGAAGAACCUGGAAAAACCCUGUAGUUUUCCAAAAUAAUGGAUCCCUACCAUGUCCCCUGCUUCUGAGCUGAGGCCUGAAACACCUCUACAGGCAUCAAAGUCUCUUGCUCCUUUUAGCUCUCUUGAACCUACCCUGCUGUCACCAUACUCCACCAAACUGCAGCAGGCUCUAGAGUGCAGGGAGCAGGGAGCAGGGGAGUAUAGAAGGCUAUAAUGAUACAACAGCAAGACUUUUCAGACUUCUACACUGAAGUAGUUUCCAGAAUAUCCAGCAGACUGACAGGGAGGUCCUGCAUUGACGGGAGGGAGGCAAGGAGAGAGAGAGAGAGAGAGAGAGAGAGAG